rnacentral:misc_RNA from 1 species
UCUCCGUUGGUGAACCAGCGGAGGGAUCAUUACCGAGUUUACAACUCCCAAACCCAAUGUGAACUAUACCUGUCUACCGUUGCUUCGGCCGGUUCGCCCGCCGAGGGAACGACAAAUAAACUCUUGUAUUCCUAUCUUUAGCAUGUCUGAGUGGAAUCAUAAACAAAUGAAUCAAAACUUUCAACAACGGAUCUCUUGGUUCUG